AAAGGCUGGCCACUAGAGUCUCCCUCCCGAGGAGGGGUUCGCGUCUGAUUAGCUAGUUAGUGAGGCAAUAGCUUACUGAGGCGAUGAUCAGUAGCUGGUCUGAGAGGAUGAUCAGCCACACUGGGAUUGAGACACGCCCCAAGAUGACGAAAU
rnacentral:ncRNA from 1 species